rnacentral:tRNA from 1 species
GUCACUGUAGCUUAAAUACUACAAAAAGCACGGCUUUGAAGACGCCAUGAUGGGGCAACCCCGGUGACA